GAUGAACGCUGGCGGCGUGCCUAAUACAUGCAAGUCGAGCGAACGGACGAGAAGCUUGCUUCUCUGAUGUUAGCGGCGGACGGGUGAGUAACACGUGGAUAACCUACCUAUAAGACUGGGAUAACUUCGGGAAACCGUAGCUAAUACCGGAUAAUAUUUUGAACCGCAUGGUUCAAAAGUGAAAGACGGUCUUGCUGUCACUUAUAGAUGGAUCCGCGCUGCAUUAGCUAGUUGGUAAGGUAACGGCUUACCAAGGCAACGAUGCAUAGCCGACCUGAGAGGGUGAUCGGCCACACUGGAACUGAGACACGGUCCAGACUCCUACGGGAGGCAGCAGUAGGGAAUCUUCCGCAAUGGGCGAAAGCCUGACGGAGCAACGCAGCGUGAGUGAUGAAGGUCUUCGGAUCGUAAAACUCUGUUAUUAGGGAAGAACAUAUGUGUAAGUAACUGUGCACAUCUUGACGGUACCUAAUCAGAAAGCCACGGCUAACUACGUG
rnacentral:rRNA from 1 species